rnacentral:lncRNA from 1 species
AGAGAGAAUUACCAAUUGUAAUAUUUUAUUUGUUAGAAGAAGAAUUGAUUGAAUUUGGAAGGCAUUGUAGCUUUCUUGAAUGUUUUUAGCAGAUCAAAAGACAGUUAAUUAUGUGACCUUAAUGUGUAAACUCAUGUGGAUAGUCUUUCUCCAUGUUCAAACUCCCCUUUAUAGGUUUAUUCUGAGAAGGUAUUUGAAGAAUAAAUAAAAUGACAAUUACAAGAAGUAUCAAAGUUUUAUAUGUCUUUAAAAUUAGAAUAAUGAUCUCAAGUCUAGAAAGCACAUAAACCAAAUAUAAUAUUUUAAAAAUUAAACUAAUAACUUUAAUAUCCCAUAUAAAUUUGAUUAUAAGUAUAAAUACCAUUUAAAAAUCUCUUAUGUAGUAAAUCUAUCAACAAUAUUUUUUAAUUUUAAUAACUAAAAUA